rnacentral:rRNA from 1 species
GACGAACGCUGGCGGCGUGCUUAACACAUGCAAGUCGAACGAUGAAGCUGGAGCUUGCUCCGGUGGAUUAGUGGCGAACGGGUGAGUAACACGAGAGCAAUCUGCCCUUGACUCUGGAAUAACUGCGGGAAACUGUAGCUAAUACCGGAUACGAGGCUCGAAGGCAUCUUCGGGUCUGGAAAGAAUUUCGGUCAAGGAUGAGCUCGCGGCCUAUCAGCUUGUUGGUGAGGUAAUGGCUCACCAAGGCGACGACGGGUAGCCGGCCUGAGAGGGUGACCGGCCACACUGGGACUGAGACACGGCCCAGACUCCUACGGGAGGCAGCAGUGGGGAAUAUUGCACAAUGGGCGAAAGCCUGAUGCAGCAACGCCGCGUGAGGGAUGAAGGCCUUCGGGUUGUAAACCUCUUUUAGCAGGGAAGAAGCGAAAGUGACGGUACCUGCAGAAAAAGCACCGGCUAACUACGUGCCAGCCGCCGCAGUAA